rnacentral:rRNA from 1 species
UACGUAGGUGGCAAGCGUUGUCCGGAAUUAUUGGGCGUAAAGCGCGCGCAGGUGGUUUCUUAAGUCUGAUGUGAAAGCCCACGGCUCAACCGUGGAGGGUCAUUGGAAACUGGGGAACUUGAGUGCAGAAGAGGAAAGUGGAAUUCCAAGUGUAGCGGUGAAAUGCGUAGAGAUUUGGAGGAACACCAGUGGCGAAGGCGGGUCUCUGGGCCGUAACUGACGCUGAGGAGCGAAAGCGUGGGGAGCGAACAGG